rnacentral:rRNA from 1 species
AGAGUUUGAUCAUGGCUCAGAUUGAACGCUGGCGGCAUGCCUUACACAUGCAAGUCGAACGGCAGCACGGGUGCUUGCACCUGGUGGCGAGUGGCGAACGGGUGAGUAAUAUAUCGGAACGUACCCUAGAGUGGGGGAUAACGUAGCGAAAGUUACGCUAAUACCGCAUACGAUCUACGGAUGAAAGUGGGGGAUCGCAAGACCUCAUGCUCAUGGAGCGGCCGAUAUCUGAUUAGCUAGUUGGUGGGGUAAAAGCCUACCAAGGCGACGAUCAGUAGCUGGUCUGAGAGGACGACCAGCCACACUGGAACUGAGACACGGUCCAGACUCCUACGGGAGGCAGCAGUGGGGAAUUUUGGACAAUGGGGGCAACCCUGAUCCAGCAAUGCCGCGUGAGUGAAGAAGGCCUUCGGGUUGUAAAGCUCUUUUGUCAGGGAAGAAACGGUGCGGGCUAAUAUCCUGUGCUAAUGACGGUACCUGAAGAAUAAGCACCGGCUAACUACGUGCCAGCAGCCGCGGUAAUACGUAGGGUGCAAGCGUUAAUCGGAAUUACUGGGCGUAAAGCGUGCGCAGGCGGUUAUGUAAGACAGGUGUGAAAUCCCCGGGCUUAACCUGGGAAUUGCAUUUGUGACUGCAUGGCUAGAGUGUGUCAGAGGGGGGUAGAAUUCCACGUGUAGCAGUGAAAUGCGUAGAGAUGUGGAGGAAUACCGAUGGCGAAGGCAGCCCCCUGGGAUAACACUGACGCUCAUGCACGAAAGCGUGGGGAGCAAACAGGAUUAGAUACCCUAGUAGUCC